GGCCUUCCAAUGCUUACCCACAGGUGGUCUGUUCUUUUACACUGACUUAUAGAAGAGGAGAUAACAGUAAAUGCUCCCUUUAUACCACCUCAAACCUGGGCCCUAUGCCUGGUCUGUAUUGUGAAUGGGGAAUAAAAA